AGUAAUCAAUUUUCAAAUAUUUUAAGUUUUCCUGGUACAAGGGGAGUAAAAGAUUUGCUUGAUAAGGCAAAUCAUAAUGUCAUAUAUACUUGUAUUGUAUAUCUGGCAGGCUAAUGUGUAGCAUAUGCUAUGCACCCCAAUCCCCAUGCAUACCACCAGAUUCCCCUUGCUUGUGUCAGUGGAAGAACUUUUGAGUUGCCAGUUUCUUGGAAAUCUCUGAUCUGUACUGAUCACAAAUAUGUGACUGUUAGGAAACACUCGAAUAAGCAGUUACAUAGAGUAGCUGAAAAAAUAAUUUUUAACAUAAAAUGAGUUGUUGCUUAUCCUGGAGAAUUUCCCAUGUAUAUUUUGAGGGGAAAGUUACAGAUCUCUGACCACAGUUAAACUGUGGAUCCAACCUGUUCAUGGCUUUGAAAUCAGUUUGUUAUUUGCAAAUUUGUCACAGCAUGUUAAGAGGCCAUGUUGUGUCUAACUUGGCAAAUUGAACCCCAUACGAAGUGGUUGCAAUGUAUUUUUACUGAAUUUGGUCUCAAAUUAAUAAUCAUGUGCUGGUGAUUCAUUUGACAGACAAAUACCACAAUCUACCAGGACGUCUUUUCCUGCAUUCCCAAUGAUCUUAUACACUCCAGGUACGUAUACUAUCUACAUUCCCAUUUUUUUUUUAUCAGCCCUUAGUUUCUUUCUAUUUGGUUUGCUAAUAAUCACGUACUUACAGAGCUGCACUUAGACAAAGCAUGGCCUUUUGGAAGGAUAAGCUUAACCACACGACCAUUGAUUUAGGAAUUGCCCCUCAAAAGCUUGAAUCUUACCAAAAUGGAGAGAUUGAAAAAACUGAUCCCAUGGAAAGAUUGCAAGCAGUACGUGGACAUCUUGUUUCUUUGCCUUUGGAUUUCAUGAGCAAGGAAGAUUUAAGACCUGUAUUUAAUGAGAGCGAAUAUUAUGCAUCUCAUGUUUUUUACUAAUCAUGGAGUAGUUGAUGAUGGUCAUCUAAAUUAUUGAUCAGCAGCCCCACCCCCACGCCAACGUUUGAGCUUGGAGUGGAAAUCUAUCAUCUGCACCGUCAGCUAUAGGAAAUGACGCCUGUCUUUUUUCACAAAAAUUUUAACCAAAUUUGCAUUAUUUUUUUUCUUUGAAAGAAAAAUGCAUAUAGAUAAAAACAGAGAGUUUCAGGUAAAUGUAAAGGAAAAUAGGGGUCUCUAUUUAUGUUCGCCUCUCAAGGAGUGUAAUAUUAUGACCACUGUUGUACCAAAUUUAAAUUUAUACUUUCAAUACUAUUUCCUUUCAUUUUUUGGGAAUUUUUGAUUUUUUCUAAUCUAAAUGAUCUGUGGUGCCUGGAGGCCUGGAACAAACUAAAACCUAGUUUGAAGUGAGAAUUAUUAAUUAAUACUCAAAAUAUUCUUCUACUUUUCCUAAUUGACAUUCCAAUAAUGUGCAUAUGCUACCAAAUUGUGACAGCCACUGUUUAUGGCUGGGGGGGGGGUGCACUUAGACAAAGCAUGGCCUUUUGGAAGGAUAAGCUUAACCACACGACCAUUGAUUUAGGAAUUGCCCCUCAAAAGCUUGAAUCUUACCAAAAUGGAGAGAUUGAAAAAACUGAUCCCAUGGAAAGAUUGCAAGCAGUACGUGGACAUCUUGUUUCUUUGCCUUUGGAUUUCAUGAGCAAGGAAGAUUUAAGACCUGUAUUUAAUGAGAGCGAAUAUUAUGCAUCUCAUGUUUUUUACUAAUCAUGGAGUAGUUGAUGAUGGUCAUCUAAAUUAUUGAUCAGCAGCCCCACCCCCACGCCAACGUUUGAGCUUGGAGUGGAAAUCUAUCAUCUGCACCGUCAGCUAUAGGAAAUGACGCCUGUCUUUUUUCACAAAAAUUUUAACCAAAUUUGCAUUAUUUUUUUUCUUUGAAAGAAAAAUGCAUAUAGAUAAAAACAGAGAGUUUCAGGUAAAUGUAAAGGAAAAUAGGGGUCUCUAUUUAUGUUCGCCUCUCAAGGAGUGUAAUAUUAUGACCACUGUUGUACCAAAUUUAAAUUUAUACUUUCAAUACUAUUUCCUUUCAUUUUUUGGGAAUUUUUGAUUUUUUCUAAUCUAAAUGAUCUGUGGUGCCUGGAGGCCUGGAACAAACUAAAACCUAGUUUGAAGUGAGAAUUAUUAAUUAAUACUCAAAAUAUUCUUCUACUUUUCCUAAUUGACAUUCCAAUAAUGUGCAUAUGCUACCAAAUUGUGACAGCCACUGUUUAUGGCUG
rnacentral:lncRNA from 1 species